GAGUUUGAUCCUGGCCAGGAUGACCGCUGGCGGCAUGUCUAAGGCAUGCAAGUUGUGCGAACCCAUUUGAGAUUAUAUCAAUGAUGGGUGAGCGGCAGACGGGAGCGUAACACAUUGGUAACCUGCCUCGAAGACGCGAACAACCUUGGGAAACCAGGGCUAAUGCGCGAUACGGAUGUGAGGGCAAAAGUCAUUCACAUUGAAAGCUUCGGCACUUCGAGAGGGGCCUAUGUUCUAUCAGCUUGUUGGCGGGGUAACGGCCCACCAAGGCUAUGACGGAUACCAGGCGUGAGAGCGUGGCCUGGCUCACUGGGACUGAGACACUGCCCAGACACCUACGGGUGGCUGCAGUCGAGAAUAUUCCACAAUGGGCGAAAGCCUGAUGGAGCAAUGCCGCGUGCCGGAUGAAGGCCUUCGGGUCGUAAACGGCUUUUAUAGGGGACGAACAAAUGACGGUACCCUAAGAAUAAGAGGUUGCUAACUCUGUGCCAGCAGCGCGGUAA
rnacentral:rRNA from 1 species